CGGAGGGUGCAAGCGUUGUCCGGAUUUAUUGGGUUUAAAGGGUGCGUAGGCGGUCUUAUAAGUCAGUGGUGAAAGCCCAUCGCUCAACGAUGGAACUGCCAUUGAUACUGUAAGGCUUGAGUACAGACGAGGUAGGCGGAAUUGAUGGUGUAGCGGUGAAAUGCAUAGAUACCAUCAAGAACACCGAUUGCGUAGGCAGCUUACUAGGCUGUAACUGACGCUGAGGCACGAAAGCGUGGGGAGCGAACAGGAUUAGAUACCCUGGUAGUCCACGCUGUAAACGAUGAUUACUCGAUGUUGGCGAUAAACAGUCAGCGUCUUAGCGAAAGCGUUAAGUAAUCCACCUGGGGAGUACGCCCGCAAGGGUG
rnacentral:rRNA from 1 species